rnacentral:hammerhead_ribozyme from 1 species
AUCCAGCUGACGAGUCCCAAAUAGGACGAAACGGGCAUUCUGAAU